rnacentral:rRNA from 1 species
CCUACGGGAGGCAGCAGUGAGGAAUAUUGGUCAAUGGGCGAGAGCCUGAACCAGCCAAGUCGCGUGAGGGAAGACGGUCCUAUGGAUUGUAAACCUCUUUUGCCGGGGAGCAAAAAGCGGUACGUGUACUGCAUCGAGAGUACCCGGUGAAAAAGCAUCGGCUAAAUCCGUGCCAGCAGCCGCGGUAAUACGGAGGAUGCGGGCGUUCUCCGGAUUUAUUGGGUUUAAAGGGAGCGGAGGCCGCCGGGUAAGUGUGCCGUGAAAUUUCCGGGCCCAACCCCGGACAAGCGGUUGAAACUGGCUUGCUAGAGUGGGCGAGAAGUAUGCGGAAUGCGUGGUGUAGCGGUGAAAUGCAUAGAUAUCACGCAGAACUCCGAUUGCGAAGGCAGCAUACCGGCGCCCAACUGACGCUCAGGCACGAAAGCGUGGGUAUCGAACAGGAUUAGAUACCCUGGUAGUC